ACAGCCUCCUGUGCUUUCCCUAUGAGUGUGGAGGCGGGGCACUUCAGUCCAAGACUCGUCCACCGAAAAUAACCUGCAUGAGGGAGGGAAGAGACUUCCAGAGAAAAGUGAGAGAGAGUAGAGGGAGGAGGAAAGGAUAGUGCCCGAAAAAGCGGGGAGGGAGAGAAGAAGAAGAAGAACGGAGUGCCUGCGCUGCGAUGGAAUAAAAACUGCGCAAUUUUAAAUCCUAUCUCCGCUGCUCUUCCAGCGCUGGCCAGCGGCUGCAGCGCAGCCACACGCCACCCGAUGUCUCCUGGACAUGCGAACACGUUUCGUCCAGCUUGCGUGGAUUUCCUCGUCCUUUACCACUGGCUGUUCGUUUAGACAACAAUUGUGUGACAAUUUCUUUGAUAGUCUUUGAGCUACAUGGCAAACGUUUUGGAGAAGAAUUGGCAGAGACAAGCCUCUGUGACGGCCACAUCUUUGCUUCGGUUUCAUAACGUAUCUGCGUGUGUAGAAGUGCAUCCUCACGCCGUCAUUUCAAACAUGCGUAUCGAUUCGGAAUGCAUAAUUAAACCUUCUUACAUGACCACGCUCGUGCUGCGUGACUCUCCAGGCGUCCAUUCUGGUGGGAAGAGGAGAAUGCCUACCAUAAUCGUCUUUUGGGAUGUAUCACUGGACAAUUUAACGUUAUGGAGAAGGGGCACGGCACCUCCCAGUCACACUCUGCUUUUGGCAGCAGAGAAAUGCAACCAAACAUGAAUGCUGAUGAACUGGCUGGGCAGCCACAGCACAAGGUCAGAGAGUUUGUCCAUGGAUCACGGCCACCAAUCAUGGAGUCUCUCGAGCAACUGAGUGGCAGACCAAAUGGCCAAUCAGCUUUCGGAGAGGAGUCCUCCCUCCCUCUGCUGUGUUUGUCUCUCUGUCUCCCCCGGUCCACCGGGCUGCUCCCUGCCCCUCCCCAGGCAGAGACCACCAUGCUGGGCAGCACUCUUUGUUUCCAUAUAGGGUAUGUGCAGAGUAUGACAUCAUGUCACACAAAGGUGCUUUAUGUUGUGUGGGUUUGGACACAAGCCAGAUUGCUAGCGCGAGCUGGAUAGAGAGAAUAUGAGAUUGAGGGUAGGGAGAGAGAGAUGACAGAAAGAGGAAGAGAGAGGACUCACCAUAUACAAAAGCAAGGUGAGAGAGAGAGAGAGAGAGAGAGA
ensembl:lncRNA